UGCCAGCAGCCGCGGUAAUACGGAGGGUGCAAGCAUUAAUCGGAUUUACUGGGCGUAAAGAAUGCGUAGGCGGUUUUGUAAGUCAGGUGUGAAAUUCCGGAGCUUAACUCCGGCACUGCACUUGAAACUACAGAACUAGAGGAUAGACGGAGAAAGUAGAAUUCCAUAUGUAGCGGUGAAAUGCGUAGAUAUAUGGAGGAAUACCGGUGGCGAAGGCGACUUUCUAGUUUAUUCCUGACGCUGAGGUAUGAAAGCUAGGGGAGCAAACAGGAUUAGAUA
rnacentral:rRNA from 1 species